rnacentral:rRNA from 1 species
AUCCUGGCUCAGGACGAACGCUGGCGGCGUGCUUAACACAUGCAAGUCGAACGGUGAUGCCCAGCUUGCUGGGCGGAUCAGUGGCGAACGGGUGAGUAACACGUGAGUAACCUGCCCCAGACUCCGGGAUAAGCCUUGGAAACGAGGUCUAAUACUGGAUACGAGACGCCCCUGCAUGGGGAGUGUCUGGAAAGAUUUAUCGGUCUGGGAUGGACUCGCGGCCUAUCAGCUUGUUGGUGGGGUAAUGGCCUACCAAGGCGACGACGGGUAGCCGGCCUGAGAGGGCGACCGGCCACACUGGGACUGAGACACGGCCCAGACUCCUACGGGAGGCAGCAGUGGGGAAUAUUGCACAAUGGGCGAAAGCCUGAUGCAGCGACGCCGCGUGAGGGAUGAAGGCCUUCGGGUUGUAAACCUCUUUCAGCAGGGAAGAAGCGCAAGUGACGGUACCUGCAGAAGAAGCGCCGGCUAACUACG